GUCCACGCCGUAAACGAUGGGCACUAGGUCCUUGGGGGAGCGACCCCGUGAGGGCCGGCGCUAACGCAUUAAGUGCCCCGCCUGGGGAGUACGGCCGCAAGGCUGAAACUCAAAGGAAUUGACGGGGCCCGCACAAGCGGUGGAGCAUGUGGUUUAAUUCGACGCAACGCGAAGAACCUUACCUGGGCUUGACAUGGCCGGGACGGUCCGGGGAAACCGGGGCCUCUCUUCGGAGCUCGGUCACAGGUGCUGCAUGGCUGUCGU
rnacentral:rRNA from 1 species